UAAACCCAAAGGCGAAAUGAAAGUAAAGAGUAGAAAAUUGUGGUAGAAUUUAAUUCUAUUUUUACAAUUUCUCUCAAGGGAAGAUGGAAACUUAUUUCUAUUUAUAAAUUUAUAAAUUUAAUAAAUUUCUCGCAUUCCCGGGGCGCUUGUUUCUCGCUUUGCGAGUUUAGGCGCACCUAGAGCGUACACGCUGAUACCCGAAAGAUGGUGAACUAUGCCUGGCCAGGACGAAGCCAGGGGAAACCCUGGUGGAGGUCCGCAGCGAUUCUGACGUGCAAAUCGAUCGUCGGAGCUGGGUAUAGGGGCGAAAGACCAAUCGAACCAUCUAGUAGCUGGUUCCCUCUGAAGUUUCCCUCAGGAUAGCUUGCGCUCGAUUGAGACGAGUCUCAUCCGGUAGAGCGAAUGAUUAGAGGCAUUGGGGUCGAAACGACCUCAACCUAUUCUCAAACUCCAAAUAGAUGAGAACCCCGGCUUUCUU
rnacentral:rRNA from 1 species